AUCCUCCAGGACUGGACGGAUGCUCUAUAUCUUUGAUUCUCCGCUGGUCUGAUCGCUCCGGAGCGGCUGCUGCAAAGGUCACAUUUUUGCCGAAUAAGCGCUCCCACCUAAUAGUGCGGAGUUUGGAGAGGUCUGGGUUGAGGCUGGAGAAUUUCUCAGCCAGUUUCCACACGGUGAUGACAAAAACCAAGCUGUUGAGGCCGAUGAUGAGGCAGACGGGCGCGAGGAAGCUCCAGAUGAAGUCGUAUUCAAGAGAGAGCCAACAGCUGGAGCAUAAACACAGAUAUGAGACCCACACACACCUGAUUGUGAGUGCUGGAGAUCCCGCAGAGGAAGACGAGGUCUGCGAUGAAGAGGCAGACGCUCAGAUGGAGGUGGAUGCUGUUCCGGGUGCUUUGGAUUGAGCGGCAGAAGCCGAAGGUCAGGAUACAGAGGAAUAAACAGAGCAGAGACAGAACUAAACCCACACGCGUGAUCACCACCAACUCAAACGUGUCCUGCAGGAGGGAAACAGGCAAAACACAGACAAAUCUCUUGAAUCACUGUGUAUAAAUACCUGGAUAUGAUUUCCCAACAACCGUCUCCCAGCUAGUGUUGAAGAGGGCAGAGCCUGUGCUUAGAAUGACACUCCCACUGGGCGGAGUCUGAUUCCGUGUGACCGCAACCUCGGCGUCUGCUCUUUCAGCUGAGGACAAAUCAGACGCAUGCUGUUCUCCACUGCAUCCAGAAGAACACUCAGAGUCUCGCCAUCAUCGUUUAUCUCCGACAGCAGGUCAUCAGUGGAGGUGAACAGAUUCUGCAUUAAACACAGUGAGACUUAUAUUCCAGCACUAAUGCAUCACCUCAUGAUCUCACGCAGGACAAUACUAAUCUUAGACCUUUAUGUACUGGUCAGUGCUGGUCAGGUGUGCUUCAGUGUGAGCUUCUGUCAGUCUAUGGAGACUCUAAAUCUAAAACUCCACAUCUAGAAUCCUCUUAGUCUAUGCUGACAUUAUCUUCAGCAGCUCAAACACUCUAAUGGCUAAUGGACAGACGGCUGCUUCUCACUCAGGGCUGCUGUUUAUGCUAAUGAGAUGGAGAGAUGGGCACUAGUGGGCGGGGCUUUCGCCCUCUGAUGACACGUACAAAGGGAGAAUGUCAAUCAAAGUGUUUCAUUCAUCAAGUCUGAUUAGAACAGACACAAUUCAUUACUGUUGAGCAUUAGAGGUGCUGGAGGGAUUCACACACUGCUCAUACACACACUACUGGGGUUAAACCCUGCAUAAAAGGGCAUUUCUGCAUAUUUUGCAUAUAAUAGUUCCCCUUAAAUAUGGAAAAAAUGUAAUAAAAAUAAUGAACAAGCUGUCAGUUAACACAGAAAAUUAGUUCAGCACAAGAAAUGCAGAAGAAACAAAAGGAGGAAGAAGGCGUUUUCACCUCCAUCAACUGUUCUCCGGUCUUACGCUCUCCGUCUGGAGUGACCAGAGACUCACAGCUGCUCUGCAACUGCGACAGUAACUCCUUCAGCUAAACAACACACAACAGAACACAAUAUUUCAACACUAGUUUCUGAAAGCUGGACUGAAAGCAGCAGUGUAACAUCUGGGAGACAGUAUUUCUGUUAUUAGCAUGUUUGAUUCAUGGUUAGGUAAAUCUAGCAAACAUUUAGAAUGGUUUAAUGGUUGAAAUGCUGCUGGUUUGUGAAACAAUCAAAGCGUGGUGGUGCAGUUAGUAGCGCUGUCACCUCACAGCAAGAAGGUAUUUGCUGGUUCGAGUCCCGGCUGAGUCAGUUGGCGUUUCUGUGUGGAGUUUGCAUGUUCUCCCCAUGUUGGCGUGGGUUUCCUCCGGGUGCUCCGGUUUCCCCCACAGUCCAAACACAUGCGCUAUAGGGGAAUUGAUUAACUAAACUGGCUGUAGUGUAUGAGUGUGUGUGCUAGUAUCAAUUAACAUGUUUGUUGCAUGUUUUUAAAAUGUUUAGUGCAUGGUUAACAUCAAUUAGCAUUUUGAUCAUAUUUUAGCAUGCUGUUAGCAGUUUCUUAACAUGCUUGACACAGAAAAUUUACCACA